AUUGAACGCUGGCGGCAGGCUUAACACAUGCAAGUCGAACGAGUGGCGGACGGGUGGGUAAUGCUUGGGAAUCUAGCUUAUGGAGGGGGAUAACUACGGGAAACUGUAGCUAAUACCGCGUACCAUAGGAUGAGCCCAUGUGGGAUUAGGUAGUUGGUGGGGUAAAGGCUCACCAAGCCGACGAUCCCUAGCUGGUCUGAGAGGAUGACCAGCCACACUGGAACUGAGACACGGCCCAGACUCCUACGGGAGGCAGCAGUGGGGAAUUUUGGACAAUGGGCGCAAGCCUGAUCCAGCCAUGCCGCGUGUCUGAAGAAGGCCUUCGGGUUGUAAAGGACUUUUGUCAGGGAAGCGGUACCUGAAGAAGAAGCACCGGCUAACUACGUGCCAGCCGCCGCGGUAAUAC
rnacentral:rRNA from 1 species